UAAGGAAUAUUGGACAAUGGGCGCAAGCCUGAUCCAGCCAUGCCGCGUGAAGGAUGACGGCCCUCUGGGUUGUAAACUUCUUUUAUACGGGAAUAAACCCUGGUUUCUACCGGGGCUGAAUGUACUGUAAGAAUAAGGAUCGGCUAACUUCGUGCCAGCAGCCGCGGUAAUACGAAGGAUCCAAGCGUUAUCCGGAUUUAUUGGGUUUAAAGGGUGCGUAGGUGGACUAUUAAGUCAGUGGUGAAAGCUUCCCGCUUAACGGGAAAAUUGCCAUUGAUACUGAUGGUCUUGAGUGCAUUUGAAGUGGGCGGAAUGUGUCGUGUAGUGGUGAAAUACUUAGAUAUGACACAGAACACCGAUUGCGAAGGCAGCUCACUAAACUGUAACUGACACUGAGGCACGAAAGCGUGGGGAUCAAACAGGAUUAGAUACC
rnacentral:rRNA from 1 species